rnacentral:misc_RNA from 1 species
AAGUCGUAACAAGGUUUCCGUAGGUGAACCUGCGGAAGGAUCAUUAACGAGUUUGAAAUGGGUUGUAGCUGGCCUCAUGAGGCAUGUGCACACCCUGCUCAUCCACUCUACACCUGUGCACUUACUGUAGGUCGGUUUGGGUCUCCUGGGUCUAUUUGAUCUGGGGGCUCGUGCCUUCCUAUGUAACUAUAAACGCUUCAGUAUCAGAAUGUAAUUGCGAUAUAAACGCAUUAAAUACAACUUUCAGCAACGGAUCUCUUGGUUCUC